rnacentral:rRNA from 1 species
ACGGCUCAGUAACACGUGGAUAACCUGCCCUUGGGUCCGGCAUAACCCCGGGAAACUGGGGAUAAUUCCGGAUAACGCACAUAUGCUGGAAUGCUUUAUGCGUAAAAUGGAUUCGUCUGCCCAAGGAUGGGUCUGCGGCCUAUCAGGUAGUAGUGGGUGUAAUGUACCUACUAGCCAACAACGGGUACGGGUUGUGAGAGCAAGAGCCCGGAUAUGGAUUCUGAGACAUGAAUCCAGGCCCUACGGGGCGCAGCAGGCGCGAAAACUUUACAAUGCGGGAAACCGUGAUAAGGGGACACCGAGUGCCAGCAUCAUAUGCUGGCUGUCCAGGUGUGUAAAAUACACCUGUUAGCAAGGGCCGGGCAAGACCGGUGCCAGCCGCCGCGGUAACACCGGCGGCCCGAGUGGUGAUCGUGAUUAUUGGGUCUAAAGGGUCCGUAGCCGGUUUGGUCAGUCCUCCGGGAAAUCUGACGGCUCAACCGUUAGGCUUUCGGGGGAUACUGCCAGGCUUGGAACCGGGAGAGGUAAGAGGUACUACAGGGGUAGGAGUGAAAUCUUGUAAUCCCUGUGAGACCACCUGUGGCGAAGGCGUCUUACCAGAACGGGUUCGACGGUGAGGGACGAAAGCUGGGGGCACGAACCGGAUUAGAUACCCGGGUAGUCCCAGCCGUAAACGAUGCUCGCUAGGUGUCAGGCAUGGCGCGACCGUGUCUGGUGCCGCAGGGAAGCCGUGAAGCGAGCCACCUGGGAAGUACGGCCGCAAGGCUGAAACUUAAAGGAAUUGGCGGGGGAGCAC